UAACAAGGAUUCCCCUAGUAACUGCGAGUGAAGCGGGAAAAGCUCAAAUUUAAAAUCUGGCGGUCUUUGGCUGUCCGAGUUGUAAUCUGGAGAAGCGUUUUCUGCGUUGGACCGUGUACAAGUCUCUUGGAACAGAGCGUCAUAGAGGGUGAGAAUCCCGUCUUUGACACGGACUACCAAUGCUAUGUGAUGCGCUCUCAAAGAGUCGAGUUGUUUGGGAAUGCAGCUCAAAAUGGGUGGUAAAUUCCAUCUAAAGCUAAAUAUUGGCGAGAGACCGAUAGCGAACAAGUACCGUGAGGGAAAGAUGAAAAGCACUUUGGAAAGAGAGUUAAACAGUACGUGAAAUUGCUGAAAGGGAAACGCUUGAAGUCAGUCGCGUUUGCUAGUACUCAACCUGUCUUUUGACUGGUGCAUUUACUAGUGAACGGGCCAGCAUCAGUUUUGGUUGCGGGAUAAAGUCUAGAGAAAUGUGGCAUCUUCGGAUGUGUUAUAGUCUCUGGUCGUAUACCGUGGCUGGGACUGAGGAUCUCAGCACGCCUUUAUGGCGGGGGUUUUACCCACCUUCGUGCUUCGGAUGCUGGCGU
rnacentral:rRNA from 1 species